AAAUGACGUUGUUCAAGGUAGUGAGCAUCAGACUAUUGUUCGAUUGAUUGUAAAAAAAUGUUUAUUGAUCAUUGAGCAGACGUAAAACAGGAAAUGGCGGAAAGAAUCCUAGCAGACGACAGUUGUCGCGCAGAUGCAAUCAUGCACCAUAUCAGAUUGCCCGAAAUUACGGACUGGCCUAGCUCUAUACUGGACUCGCUUUCAGCAGGUAGCAGACGACAAUAAAUUGUAAAGUGGAAAUUUGCGACUUCCGGUGUGUCUGCUACUCGAUGUUGUGAUCUCAGUUACUUCCCCUGACGUUCAGUGUUAAGUUAAGGAAAGAACGAAAGAUAUGAAAUGAGCACCGGCAAACUGAUCUUGGCAUGUUACAUCCUUAUCGCAGAACUGGAGCCUACUGAUUAAGAUGAGG